GUCGAGCGGAACGAUGAUAGCUUGCUAUCAGGCGUCGAGCGGCGGACGGGUGAGUAAUACUUAGGAAUCUACCUAGUAGUGGGGGAUAGCACGGGGAAACUCGUAUUAAUACCGCAUACGUCCUACGGGAGAAAGGGGGCAACUUGUUGCUCUCGCUAUUAGAUGAGCCUAAGUCGGAUUAGCUAGAUGGUGGGGUAAAGGCCUACCAUGGCGACGAUCUGUAGCUGGUCUGAGAGGAUGAUCAGCCACACCGGGACUGAGACACGGCCCGGACUCCUACGGGAGGCAGCAGUGGGGAAUAUUGGACAAUGGGGGAAACCCUGAUCCAGCCAUGCCGCGUGUGUGAAGAAGGCCUUUUGGUUGUAAAGCACUUUAAGCAGUGAAGAAGACUCUUCGGUUAAUACCCGGAGACGAUGACAUUAGCUGCAGAAUAAGCACCGGCUAACUCUGUGCCAGCAGCCGCGGUAAUACAGAGGGUGCAAGCGUUAAUCGGAAUUACUGGGCGUAAAGCGAGCGUAGGUGGCUUGAUAAGUCAGAUGUGAAAUCCCCGGGCUUAACCUGGGAACUGCAUCUGAAACUGUUAGGCUAGAGUAGGUGAGAGGGAAGUAGAAUUUCAGGUGUAGCGGUGAAAUGCGUAGAGAUCUGAAGGAAUACCGAUGGCGAAGGCAGCUUCCUGGCAUCAUACUGACACUGAGGCUCGAAAGCGUGGGUAGCAAACAGGAUUAGAUACCCUGGUAGUCCACGCCGUAAACGAUGUCUACUAGUCGUUGGGUCCCUUGAGGACUUAGUGACGCAGCUAACGCAAUAAGUAGACCGCCUGGGGAGUACGGCCGCAAGGUUAAAACUCAAAUGAAUUGACGGGGGCCCGCACAAGCGGUGGAGCAUGUGGUUUAAUUCGAUGCAACGCGAAGAACCUUACCUGGUCUUGACAUAUCUAGAAUCCUGCAGAGAUGCGGGAGUGCCUUCGGGAAUUAGAAUACAGGUGCUGCAUGGCUGUCGUCAGCUCGUGUCGUGAGAUGUUGGGUUAAGUCCCGCAACGAGCGCAACCCUUGUCCUUAGUUACCAGCGGGUUAAGCCGGGAACUCUAAGGAUACUGCCAGUGACAAACUGGAGGAAGGCGGGGACGACGUCAAGUCAUCAUGGCCCUUACGACCAGGGCUACACACGUGCUACAAUGGUAGGUACAGAGGGCAGCUACACAGCGAUGUGAUGCGAAUCUCAAAAAGCCUAUCGUAGUCCAGAUUGGAGUCUGCAACUCGACUCCAUGAAGUAGGA
rnacentral:rRNA from 1 species